AUCUGUCUGCUCAGUGAGUGGGAGGGCUGGUACCUUCUCUUGUUUCUGAGACCCAGGUAGCAAAGGAGUUUGAGUUUGCAGUUGGAAUCAAAGGCUCUCCAACAAGGAAACAACUAAUAAUCAUGGUAAAAUAAAGUCAGUGAAAUAAAAACUGAAAGAAGCUGCCACCAAGAGACCUGCACUAAAGGAAAUUCUGACAGAUAUUCUUUGGGUAAAGAGAAGAUCCCAGAUGAAAGCUUGGAGAUGAAGGAAAAAUUGAAGAGGAAUGAAAAUGGAAACAACACAGGUGUGUUCCUGCAAGACCUCUCUUUCCCUAGGGGAAAACAGAGACAUCUCAUCACAGAUAGCUCUAGGUUUGCCUUGGCCAUGAUGUCCAAGUGGUCUGCUUGGUUCCAUGCCUGCGUCUGAGCUGGCUCUGUGGGAGGUGCCAAGCUGCCUUCGACACUGUGCAUGGCACUUUAAAGCUCUCAAUAAAUAUUUUUCAAGUGAAGUCAAUGAAGCAAGAAAGAAUCUCAACUAGUUUUGAGUUUUGGUUGAAGAGAAGGCUCACAGAGGCUCAGGGAAGCCCUCAGGUUUCAUGGGGACAGCCUGAAGAAUGACCUUCAUAUAAUGGCCACACAGCCACUUGGGCCACCGGAGCUCACCGUGAGACACACUCACCAUCUCGUCUUCAUGUCUGGUGCUCCCUUUAGUUUUCUGGCAAGAAGCUAGGGAGAAGGUGACUUGAGCUCCUCGUGUGUUUUGAUCACUCAACAAAGAAGACAAAAGGGCGUUUCAUAACCUGACAGUGGGAGAGCACAUUAAAAAGGAGCUGAGCUGACCUUUGCACUGUCUAUGAAGAAUGAGUUUCCUAAACUCAUCAUAGCAACAAGAUAUAACGGGGGUUAUUAAGCCACUAAAACUUUUUCUGAAUUCAUAUGCACUUUUUCCCAAAUAGAAUGCUGACGACAAAUAAUUUUAUCAAUCAUUAAAGAAGAUCCCUUCAGAACCUCUCCAGGGAAAUACUUGUAGCUUAGUUCUGGUUAGCACGUAAUGCCACAAGAAUCUGGCAUCAUUUAGACCAGCCAUUUAUUCAGAUAUCAAGAGCAAGAGACUGUAACUGAUUCCCUGACCUCUGACUAAAAACAAAUAUAAACAGUUCUGUGGACUAAAUGUUGUUUAUCCUGGGAAGGAUGUGGUUUUAUCACUGUUGCCCACAGUAACUGGUCAGCCCCUGUGUCUCAGAAGGGAGCUGAGAAGGCUUGAAAGGGU
rnacentral:lncRNA from 1 species